rnacentral:rRNA from 1 species
UACGUAGGAGGCAAGCGUUGUCCGGAUUUAUUGGGCGUAAAGCGCGUGUAGGCGGCCACGCAGGUCCGUUGUGAAAACUGGAGGCUCAACCUCCAGCUGUCGACGGAAACCGUAUGGCUAGAGUCCGGAAGAGGAGAGUGGAAUCCUGGUGUAGCGGUGAAAUGCGCAGAUAUCAGGAAGAACACCAAUGGCGAAGGCAGCUC